UUGAAUGAAGCUGAAAGAAAAUUUCCCUCCCUUUCUUAGUAAUUAGGCAUGUAAUGAAAAAAAUUACCGAUCUACUACAAACAGAUACAAUUCUCAUUGCAUUUUUUGUGAUUCGUGAUAACCACAAAGGUAAUUCGUGUUUUUUUUCAGGGUUCAAAUUCUUUUCGUUACGUUUCCGUGUGUAUCCAGAUUUGGGGUUUUUUAAUUGCUAUAUCCAGUCCCAAUUUGUUGCAGUGUUCUUUUCUCCUUUUCUGGCCAAAUUUCCUGACUGAAAUCUCGUCCCUUUCAAAUCUUGGAUUUUUGUUUCUAGGAAUUCAUCUGGGUUAUCGCACUUUUGUCAUUUGAGUCUUUUGCCAAAAAAGUUUAAGAGUCUUGACUCUCCAUAUUGGGUCCCUUAGAGGUAUUUCAACUUCCAAUAAGUCAUUAUCCUCCGAAACAUCUGAAGCAUCAGCAACUCUUGUAACAGCUGAAUGGAAGCCCUCUACGGAUUUGAAUUGCAGAACCCAAAGGCCCAAGACAGGAUUUGAUGCAUUAUAUUUGGCAGCAGCUUCUCCUCUUGUAAGCCCUUGCAGUACUUAUCCAACACCAGAGGACAGAUUUAAAAAGUUUUUUUAACCUCAAUAUUGCCAAAAUAGCUCACUUGGGCCAGAUUUGCCUAUGGCCUGCAAGGCAUACGAGUCCAAAAAAAGGCUCCUCCUGCCACUGCUGCUUGGCAGGGUGAAGCAGCUCAUCAGCUUGAGAAAAAAUAUGAAGAAAGAGAGCAUGUUUUGGCUCCUAGCACUACAAGAAAGUAGAGUCACGGAGAGUCCCGGUGUAAUGCUUCCUCUGGAUGGCAUAACUCAUAACAAUACUGUCAAUUGACGGAAGGCGACGAGUGCUGGUGUGGGGAGAAUUAUGAUGGAUAUUUGGUGGGAACUUGUUGAAUGAGAGGUCCCCGGGUAAUACAAUUGGUCUGGCUACAGAGAGCAUCUUGAAAUGGUAAAAAACAUGGAUUAAAGGUGCAGGCUGCUAUGUUAUUCCAUCAGUGCGCAGAAAAUGUUGGAGAUUCUCUUACUAUUCCUUUGCCUAAAUGGGUGGAUGAAAGAAAUAGAUCAUGAUAAUGAUCUGGAGGCGAAAAUUACGAGCAUAUCUCUCUGGGAUGUGAUGAGCUUCCCGUCUUAAAAGGGUGAACACCUAUUAGUAUUCAGUGCUAUGUAGAUUUCGUGAGAAGCUUCAAGGAGAGUUUCCAGGACCUUCUUGAGGAAACUAUUGUGAUAAGGAAUUGCCAUAUAUGAUAAUUCUAGAAUUUGAUAUCAUUCUAUUUAGUAUU